UAGGGAAUCUUCGGCAAUGGACGGAAGUCUGACCGAGCAACGCCGCGUGAGUGAAGAAGGUUUUCGGAUCGUAAAGCUCUGUUGUAAGAGAAGAACGAGUGUGAGAGUGGAAAGUUCACACUGUGACGGUAUCUUACCAGAAAGGGACGGCUAACUACGUGCCAGCAGCCGCGGUAAUACGUAGGUCCCGAGCGUUGUCCGGAUUUAUUGGGCGUAAAGCGAGCGCAGGCGGUUAGAUAAGUCUGAAGUUAAAGGCUGUGGCUUAACCAUAGUAGGCUUUGGAAACUGUUUAACUUGAGUGCAAGAGGGGAGAGUGGAAUUCCAUGUGUAGCGGUGAAAUGCGUAGAUAUAUGGAGGAACACCGGUGGCGAAAGCGGCUCUCUGGCUUGUAACUGACGCUGAGGCUCGAAAGCGUGGGGAGCAAACAGGAUUAGAUACCCUGGUAGUCCACGCUGUAAACGGAUGAGUGCUAGGUGUUAGACCCUUUCCGGGGUUUAGUGCCGUAGCUAACGCAUUAAGCACUCCGCCUGGGGAGUACGACCGCAAGGUUG
rnacentral:rRNA from 1 species